rnacentral:rRNA from 1 species
UACGUAGGGUGCAGGCGUUAAUCGGAAUUACUGGGCGUAAAGCGUGCGUAGGUGGUUUGUUAAGUCUGAUGUGAAAGCCCUGGGCUCAACCUGGGAAUUGCAUUGGAUACUGGCAGGCUAGAGUGCGGUAGAGGGUAGUGGAAUUCCCGGUGUAGCAGUGAAAUGCGUAGAGAUCGGGAGGAACACCAGUGGCGAAGGCGACUACCUGGACCAGCACUGACACUGAGGCACGAAAGCGUGGGGAGCAAACAGG